rnacentral:rRNA from 1 species
GACGAACCGUGCGAACGUUAUUCGGAAUCACUGGGCUUAAAGCGCGUGUAGGCGGGCCGCCGCGUCGAUCGCUGAAAUCCCCCGGCUCAACCGGGGAACCGGCGCCGAUACGGGCGGCCUCGAGGGGGGUAGGGGGGCCUGGAACUUCCGGUGGAGCGGUGAAAUGCGUUGAGAUCGGAAGGAACGCCCGUGGCGAAAGCGAGGCCCUGGACCCUUUCUGACGCUGAGACGCGAAAGCCAGGGGAGCGAACGGG